rnacentral:miRNA from 1 species
ACCUUUUGGUUUUGACAGAAAAUUCUCCUUUGAUGAGGUAAUUUUAGUAUAAUCAAAGGAGAAUUUUCUGUCAAAACCAAAAG